UGUCAAUCUACUGUCACUUGAACUCAGUCAGUUCCUGUUUUCCAGUGAUGGCGUCGCAAGCGGCCGUCUCUAUAUCUCGUAUUUACGCCAUUUGGAAGUUGAUCACUUGACCAAGAUGCAUCUUGAAAUUGGAGAUUUAAGUGAUGAGGAACAUUUGGUUAUAAAAGUCUGCCAACAUUUAUUAAGAACAAGAGAUCUCCCAAGAAAUAUGCUGGGUACAGUAACUGGAACCUUUUAAGAAUGAAAUGGAGAAAUAAUUUCUAGGAUUUCGCUCCCAAUAUAAAUGAUUUACAGAAGAUAUUCAGCAGAACAUAUCGUAUCGUUUACCAUGAAGAGUUCAUUUUGACGGCGAACUGAAGACAAGAUGCAGUUGAUCUGUGAACGACUUUGUAGAAAUAUCACCAACAGUUUCCGAUGACGACGAGAAAUUUCACUGUCAAAUUGUGCUUUUGAUCUGUACCAAGCACUCUGAAGCUCCGUAAACCUGUAUAGUGCUAAAUGCAACUGUGCUUCUAUUAUCAGAUUCCAUUGUAGUAUUUUAAAGCACUUAUGAUGUGUUUAAUGUUUUGAUGGAUCCAUGACGGGAUUAAUGUAGUGGUUUAAUGCACUUGUGAGCUUUUGGAACGAAGUAUUUCAUUUUCAUUUUAGGAAUUUUACCUGUCCAAUGUAACAGGCUAACAGCUCUGAAAUAUUGUUAUUAUGCGUUUGUCUAUCUACAGAGCUGUUGAUUUUAGGUUUAUCGGUCUACAACAAUUUGUCUACAACCACUCACUCAUACAUCUACAGUUACAGUUUCUUUACAAUUUGGUUUCUAUAAAGUCUAAAUAAUUCUGCAUAUUUUGUCUUGAUGGUUGGUGCGUUGGUAGCUGUAGCGAUUUUUUUCAAAUAUUUGAAUUAAAUGACUUUCAUUUAUUUAAUUAGCUUUUAGAAAUUGUAUAUAUUAAAUUUAAUAGAUAAAAUGCUUAUAUUUAAGGAAUAGCGUAUAACCUUUUAGUAUUUUUUCUUAAAUUUUGUUAAUUAGUACGCUUUUAAUUUUCGUUUCCUGAAAUCAAAUUUCUCAUUUUUAUUUUACCUUGAUGUACCCUUGAAGGAAACUAGAAUCUGUAAGUAAUCUGUUGCAGAAGAACUGAGUUUGUAUACAAACUGUUACAGAAUGUUAAAGAUAAAUUGUAAUUGCAGAAGGAUUACCUCAGAAAAUAAUCCUUCAUGCACCAUAAAUUUCAUAGAUUUUGGAAUUUUACAAUUUAUGAAAUAAGUCUGUUCUCUGAGCUUUGUAAAUGUAAUGCUCUUCCAUAUUUAUUUUGAGUUAAAUCCUUUUGAGCUCUAACGAAAUGUCAGUUUAGUGCUUCAGUAUGGUGAUAAGUCAUGAGCAUUGGUGUCACUGCAAAGGUUUCACAGUAUUAUUGAUAUCCUUAUAGAAAUUGUUAUCUCAUUCAAUCCUAUUACAUCCAACAGUUUUGUAAGAUUCAAAGUAUAACUGCCAAUCACUAACUGGACUUAUUGAUAUUUUUUAUAAAGUGUUAUCCUAGUCAGUUCUAGUACAUCCAAUGGUUCUGUAAGAAACGCAGUAACUGCCAGUCACUAGCUGGACCUAAGUUUAUUAGUUGGUGUUUUUUAUUAAGCUAGCCUUAUGCCAGCACGGGCUCUUGCUCAUAGAGCAUCCCGUAGGUGUAAGUUUAUAUAUGUGGAGAAUCAAGUUACCGAAUGGGGAUGGAAAAGGAGUGGCAAGAUUUUACUGUU